rnacentral:lncRNA from 1 species
GUCGUUCGGGCGGCGGCGGGUGCGUGCGGGCUGUGUCGGUGAGUUGGUGUCUGCAGGGGCUGCCUUCCUCCAGCUCCCCUUUCCCCCGCAGCCCCCUGCUCCCCCCGGGGCUGCUCCCCGCCGCGCGGGGUGGCUCCGGCCCUGCGGAGGGCAGGCGGCAUGCGGCUGGGGUCGAGCGCCAUGGCUGAGGAGGCGCGCGGCCUUCCGCCUGCUCUCUGCCCGCGGCCCGCCGGGCCUUGCCUCCCGCCGGCCCAGCACCGGGCCGAGCCCCGCGGUGUGCCCGUCAUACGGGGGAGACAUAGCGGGAAAGGGCACGUAGAGAUAGAAGAAGGGGAAUGGCGUUCGGCUGAAAAAGGGUAGAUUAGUAGCCUGGAGAAGAGAAGGCUGCGUGGAGACCUCAGCAGCCUGCCAGUGUCUGAUGGGGGCCUAUAAGGAUGCUGGAGACGCUUCGUCAGGAUUAGCGAUAGGACAAGGGGUAAUGGGUUCAAACUUAAACAAGGGGAGUUCAGGUUAGAUAUAAGGAAGAAGUUUUUUACUGUGAGGGUGGUGAGGCUCUGGAACAGUUGCUCAAAGACGUGGCAAGUGGCAAAUGCUCCAUCCCUGGCAGUGUUCAAGGCCAGGUUGGACAGAGCCUUGGGCGACAUGGUCUAGUGUGAGGUGUCCGGCUGGAACUACAUGAUCUUUAAGGCCUCUUCCAGCCCAAACUGUUCUAUGAUUCUGUGAUGAUUCUGUCAUAAACAGCCAUGCCCUUCAGCUGCCAUCACACCCGGACUCUCCCUGCGCCACGCACACAGGAGUGCCCAUGCGAGGCCCCCAUGGGUGCAGAUGCUGAGCUGCGCUUAAUGCUGUAACGUUUGACUUCAUGUAACCCGAACCCUGUUGCUUUUGGUCUAUUGUUGUAGUUCCUCUAGGUGCCGAAAAACAUCUACUUUCCUGACAGAAUGGUGGUUUAUAAAGAUAAUCGCCAUCUUGAGUAGUUCAUGGGGAUGAUUACCAAGUGAGAGGCUAUCUUUCAGAUUUCAGUGAGCUGGGGAAGCAUGGAUGUACUGGACUCUAUUAGAGCAAGACCUUCCACUUAGGGUGGGGUUUUUCUCCCACCACCGCGUGGUGGAAGCUUGGAAAUCGUACAACCGAUUGACAUAUAUCAUCUGAAUAUACCUGCCUGCUGGUGUCCCACUGCCCUGCCUUUCAACCUUACGCAACAGCUCUCUGAAGCUGAGGUUUCAGCUUCAUCAUCAGCUUUCAGGUCAGUUAGUUAGUACAUUGACCAGGAGUCAGAGUAAGUUUAACAUUAGAAACUUAAGUUUUCCAGCUUCUCCCAGCAGGCACUAGCCUACUUUUUGAGGUCUCAUCACCAGGUGUAAUAUCCUGCAUUUUGCACAAAAUUCCUCAAAUCUGAAUUGUAGAAGCUACUUCUCCUGUUAGGAGCUCAAGAUGAAAAUUUGAUGCUCCUUGUUAUUGUUGAGGGAAGAUGAGUAGAAAAUUUCAGUAUGCCACAGUUUAGCUCAUCAUAAGUAUAACUAAGCUAAUUUUUACUAACAUUAAGGAAUUUAGCACCAGGGAGAGUUAUUUAACAUAUUAUUCUAAGGCUGAAAUCAGUAGCUGAUGUUGCAUCAUACACACUGGCCAGAAAACCAAUGUAAUCAUGUUAUUUUGAGUAGCAGUUGAUUUGCAUGUCUA